AAAAGAAGAAGAAAAAUAAAGAUAAACCCUAAGGAGAAAAGAAUUCUAUUUCUCGGCAGUCGCACGACCAUAUAUCUCAUGGUUUUCUCCUCAAACUGCGUCUUCGUGGCUUCCUCUCUCAAUCUCAUAUCUUUGAAGCUCUCUCAGAUCACUAUCUCUCACGGAGGGUUAUAAGAACGCGCAUCCCAGUCGCCUCCUUCACUUCUCCUUCAGCAAAAUACACAAUUGCGGUUCUCAAAUCUAUUCCUCCACUGCCAACAACAACGUCAAGGUCAUUCUGCUCUGAUCUUGUGUUAAAAGAUGUUAAAUUUCAAUAUUGCUGUCAUGGAAUUCUUUUAAAUGUUUGACGGAUGCAUAUGGGUUUUCUGUAAUUGUGGGUUUCUCUGAUAUGUAAUCUUUAUGAGUUGUUGGGUUUCGAUCUGUUGCGAUCAUAAUAUAUAAUUGAACAUAUCUUAAGCAUGUGAUUGUGUUCUGCUCUAGGUGGACUCCCAUGUUUUACUUAAUUGGUUAACCCAUCAAGUAUUGUGAUUGCUUUUGGAUUUCUCUUGAUGAUUUUGUGAUCUGGGUAUUUGAAAAGUUUUGAUAUUUCUAGUUAAUUCAAGUUGCAACACUUAACUGCAACCUCUGUUACAAUCAAUAGUGCAUUAUAAGAAUCGGAGCUUUUGUGCAACCUCUGUUUACUUAUGCUUUUGUGCAGGAAAGAGUCGGAGCAUUUCCAAAAUUUAGCUCAAGUUCAAGAUUCUAAGUAGCAGUGACAAAAUGUCGAAACGUCUUCGUUCUAAUGUUUCCAGUGCCCAAAAGGCUAAUGUUGGUGUCACUGUGACAAAACGGUUACGCGUACAAGCAAAUGAACCUUCACCCCCAACUUCUUUGCAAGAUGAACUUGAAGUUCCUGAUAUGCCUACCUCUAAUAGAACUACCCAAAGGGCUAUUGCUAGUACCAUUAUCCAAAGGCCUACUGUUGGCUGCACAAACAGGGGAGAUACUAAGUGCAAUUGAACACUUUCAAAUGGAGUACAAAAGCAUUAAAAAAGGUUGGGAUUUGGGAGCGAAAGAAUUAUGAGAUCAAAUGGUUAAGAUGCGAAUUGAGACAACUCUUCCUGAUGGGACUCGAACCAUGAAUGAUGAUGAAAUAUGCGCAAAGGUUCUUGGAAUAAAAUCAGGCUAUAUCAAGGGUUCUGGUUUUGGCCUUAGGCCUCCACCAUCUAGCACUUCUCGAUCAUCAAUAGAUGAAAUGUCUAAGAAGAAUAAAGAGUUAGAAGAUAAACUUGAAGAGACCCAAGAUACUAUAAAGGCUUAACAAGAAAAGAUUGAUGCACAAAACAUGCUGAUCCAAGAAUUGCAGGAGCAAGACAAAAAGUUUGAGGAGUUCAUGGCAACUUUUAUGAACCAACAAGUAUCAAGUUAGUUAUGCGCAUCUAGGAUUUAGUAUCAGUUAAACAAGUUCAUUGAUUUUUAGAUCCUUUUGAGUUCAGUAUUGAUUUUAGACUAUUCCAAUUAGUAGUUAUGGUAGACAACAUUAUGAAUUAUUAUUUUGUUUCUUGCUUAACUAGUUUUGAAUAAGAAUCCUCUUUUUAGAAUAAAA